rnacentral:rRNA from 1 species
CCCUUAGAUGUCCGGGGCCGCACGCGCGCUACACUGAAGGAAUCAGCGUGGCUUUCUCCCUGACCCGAAAGGGUUGGGAAACCCGUUGAAUCUCCUUCGUGAUAGGGAUUGGGGCUUGAAAUUGUUCCCCAUGAACGAGGAGUUCCCAGUAAGCGCGAGUCAUAAGCUCGCGUUGAUUACGUCCCUGCCCUUUGUACACACCGCCCGUCGCUACUACCGAUUGAACGGUUUAGUGAGGGCCUCGGAUUGGUCUCGGCCCGCUCUUUACCGGGCGGCGCCGUUGGUCGAGAAGACGCUCGAACUUGAUCGUUUAGAGGAAGUAAAAGUCGUAACA